AUACGUAGGGUGCAAGCGUUAAUCGGAAUUACUGGGCGUAAAGCGUGCGCAGGCGGUUUUGUAAGACAGUGGUGAAAUCCCCGGGUUCAACCUGGGAACUGCCAUUGUGACUGCAAGGCUGGAGUGCGGCAGAGGGGGAUGGAAUUCCGCGUGUAGCAGUGAAAUGCGUAGAUAUGCGGAGGAACACCGAUGGCGAAGGCAAUCCCCUGGGCCUGCACUGACGCUCAUGCACGAAAGCGUGGGGAGCAAACAGGAUUAGAUACCCUGGUAGUCCACGCCUUAAACGAUGUCAACUGGUUGUUGGGGAUUUAUUUUCUCAGUAACGAAGCUAACGCGUGAAGUUGACCGCCUGGGGAGUACGGCCGCAAGGUUAAAACUCAAAUGAAUUGACGGGG
rnacentral:rRNA from 1 species